UACGUAGGGGGCAAGCGUUGUCCGGAAUUAUUGGGCGUAAAGAGCGCGUAGGCGGUCUGAUAAGUCGGUUGUGAAAGUCGGGGGCUCAACCCUCGGAUGCCGAUCGAUACUGUCAGGCUAGAGUCCGGAAGAGGCGAGUGGAAUUCCUGGUGUAGCGGUGAAAUGCGCAGAUAUCAGGAGGAACACCAAUGGCGAAGGCAGCUCGCUGGGACGGUACUGACGCUGAGGCGCGAAAGCUAGGGGAGCGAACAGG
rnacentral:rRNA from 1 species